CAGCAGCAGCAUGGACCUCUCCUUCAUGGCCGCGCAGCUUCCUGUUAUGGGAGGAGCCUUUAUGGACUCACCAAAUGAGGACUUUAGUACAGAGUACUCCUUGUUUAACUCAUCGGCCAAUGUCCAUGCAGCUUCUUCCAUGCAGAAUCCACCAGAAGAAACAUCCCGGUCUUCAAAUGAUGCCAUAUUGUUAUGGAUUGCGAUCAUAGCAACAAUUGGAAAUAUUGUGGUUGUGGGAGUGGUGUAUGCCUUCACGUUCUAGGAUGCCUGUCACUCCAAACACUGGAAGAGAGGAUAACUGCAGCAGUAUUUGUCAUGUGUAUGUAUGUAUGUGUGUAUAUAUACAUGUAUAUCUAUAUAAAUACGUAUAGGUAGGGACUUUGUUGAAUAAGUACUGCCACAAUCACAGAAAAGAAAUGCAAGUUAAUCAUCAUGAAUCUUGAUGGCAGAAGCUUUGGAUGUUAGGGCAAACUAUAUGAAGGUGAGAGCUCCAAUGGAGAACAGCACCAACACAACAUUUGUAUGGAAAUAUAAUGAAAGGCAGACCAGUGUGAUUAUAGUGGAUACAAAAAGAAAGUGAGAUUUAUACUGGAAGUGCUUAUUUUCUACUGUUGAGAUUUUUCUAGCAGCUUUUCUGGGUUUUGUCAAAUUUUUGUGCAUUUUUUUACUGUGG
rnacentral:lncRNA from 1 species